GCAUCCAGCUUAUGUUCAAUAUUUUUCAUAUAAGCUAGGCAACCCUAAAUCUUAAGAUACUUAAGUUUGGAUCUUUUCUUUUCCAUAUUGAAUGCUAGAAAUAGAUUUUGAAGAUACUUUAUUUAAAAUAUAUGCUGCAACCUCGAAGAAGUAUCCCCAAAAGGAUAACAGAAGAUCCAUGAAACACAUCAUGGACCAC
rnacentral:lncRNA from 1 species